rnacentral:lncRNA from 1 species
UUCCUUUCUGAAAUUGAUUCUUCCUCCUUUCUUCUUGAUCGAUUUUUUUUUCUUGUUCCACUUGUGAGUUUCCAGAUCGAAAAAUGGCAGGUGAGAAGCAUGUUCCGAAAGGUACAACUGCUAUGGUGAAUAUGUGGGUUAUAACACAUGAUGAGAAGGUUUGCAAUGAGGCAAAAGAGUUUAAAAGCGAGAGAGGUUUAUGAAUGAGGAAGUGAGUAUAAUGGGAUCUGAUUUGACGUUAGCACAUUUGGAGCUGGUAGGAGGGUUUGUCCUGGAAAAGCUAUGGAUUUGGCUUCUGUUCAUCUUUGGCUUGCUCAGUUACUUCACAACUUCAAAUGGGUUCCAUGUGAUGAUUCACCUAUUGAUUUGGAUUAAUGUCUUAUGCUUUCGCUUGUGUGCAAGGUUGUUGCUAGGACCUAGGGCUAAUGUUAGUGUUUGAAUUUGCUUGACUUUCGUAAGAAAUUU